AGCAAUCCUGUCCAAAAGAAAGAAAAAAGACAAAGGCCAAAGCAGAAAGGAAGUAUUAGUUCCCAGGCUGAGUUCCUCACAGGUGGAGGCAGGAUUCCUCUGGUUCCCAGAAGGAUGCAGAAACAGGACACAGGGACACUAUGUGCCCCUUCACCUGCAUCUCCAGGACCUUGCUAUUGCAGGCCAAAGUAGCACAAAUUGUCUUCAGCCUUUUAUCCAGGUGUCUUCGGCUUGUUGGGAUUUUUCCUGUGACAACAGCCAGGGAAUGCUGCUUGCUGUCAAAGGGCUUUGUUCCUUCCAGGAAGCUCCGAAGACUCACUUGGGUUCCUCCUUUCUAAAACAUGGCCUGGUUAAUUGCCAAAAAAAUGAGCAGUGUAAGCCAUUCCUCGGCACAUGCCAAUCCCUCCAAGACAUUCUGAUUCCAGUGGGGUUCAGGCCCAAGGGUUGUUCUCAAGAGCACAAAAGUUCUCGGUUUCAGCAGCAAGACAAGAGCAGGCAGCUUGGCAGGCCUCUGCCAUCUCAAGCACUCACUUGCCUUCCAAAUUCCUCUGCUUCCUCUAGCCAUGGGCGUAAGUCCUGUUCUUGACCUGCUGUCUUCUCCUGUUCCCCGUGAGACUGGCACCUGUCUGCUCCUUCCCGUGGCACGUUGUGGGGAGGUAUGGAAUGAAAUGACAGAGGAGAAUUUCACAGAACCUGCACUUGGUAUCGUUUGCCCCGUUUGGUGCUUGCAACUAUCCGCAGCAGACAUGGACUUUGCAGUUGUGUGAGCUAUGUGCUCCAGAAAAGACAAGACUAAGUUAGCUCAGGAAAACCAGGAUCAAUUCACUCAGCUCCUGCAAGCCAGAAAUGAGAGUGCAGCAAAUGACUGAAAAAUGCAGUGCUAUGCAGCACGUCGUAUCCACCAUGGGCAGGAUAGAGAUUUCCAACCCACAUGCAUGGAGGAAUCUGACUUUGCAGGUUUCCCCCAAGCCAAAGGCAGUGGGUUUUGGCAAAGGCACUGGGACCUUAGUGUUGGACAGAGAACAUUUUCAAGAGAAGGGCUGACUUGGGAGCUGAGGGAAGCAGAGAGAAUGGGCAAAUGUGCCCAUGGAUGCAUCCACACUGUGAAGGUCUCUCCAAGGGCAGUCCCUACCAUGGACAGAACAUGGGCACUGCUCCCUGCAGAGGACAUGUCCCUGCCAUAUUGACCACACAAACGCUGUUCAGUGUCAUACAAACACAUAUGGGUGGUUUGUUGCUCAGCUUUUUUUCCCCACUAAGGUAUCCUUCUUCCUUCAGCACGCCUUACAGUGUGCUAGUUGGUGUUAGCCAUGCAGUGAAUGGAUAGGAAUGACAGGCAUUCCAAUUUAGGGAACUUUCCAGGAUAUUAUUAAAGCACAGUUUCCCUUUGAGAAUUUAAGCAAGUGUUCUUGAAUUUAGUCAGAAGCAGUGGUGGCCAAAGGGCACGUUUUCUUGGGUUUCCUCACAUCCCGGUUCUUUUUCAGUGUUCAGCUUGGUAUACAGGGGGUAUGGGCUCGGUGUCUGUUUUGUGUUACUUUUGAUCCUCUGUCACCGCGAGCCUAGCUAGAUAAGGACACUCAGGAGACAGAGGUCUGGGUUCAAACAGAGCAGCAGGCAGGAGAGCCCACCCUUAGUUUAUUCUUCCUAUUACAUACCUCUCACAAGGUGACCAUGGAUUGGAGGGUGGUUAUUCCACCUCUCACCCACAUUGGUCAAGGAGGCUGUCAUUCAGCCUCCCCUUCUCUUGGAGAAGGAAUCCAUAACAAGGGCAGUAUUUACAAAACACGAUCUUGUGUUUACAUUUACGAGUGUGAGAAGCUGCACACUUCCACUUUAAUAUGUACGCUCAGCAAAUUAGGAAAUCUCAGGGCAACAAUCCUCUGAGCUAUGGGUGACGGACUGCAAGGGGGUUUUGUGCUCCUUUGGGACAGAGGAGAACUUUCUGGGCUUUCUUUUGCAUCAGAGGAGGUUGGGUUGCUAUGCAUAAGUUCACAGAGCAACCCAUAGAAGCUGCUAUUGUGAUGUCAGUGGAGGGCUGCCACAUCACAGUGCUGUCAAGACGAGGUUGCCCUGGUGCAUGCAAGGCAUCAGCGCCCAGAGCAGCUCUUGGCGUGCUCGUUGCAGGAGGAUUGCCUUGACGGAGCUGUUCUCAGGCAACAGUUUGUGCCCUGACAAGGGAGUCUGUUUCUUUUGCCUGCUGUUGCACAAGUCUGUGGACUUGUGUAGGCAUUGUUUUUUUUUUUCCCCUGCGGUUGUAGGGUGUACGGACACGUGCCGGUGUCCUUUUUUAUUUUCGUUGUUUUUUGAACAGUCUGGGGACUUGGGAAGGUGUCUUUUGUUUUCACCUCUUUCUUGGACAGUCCGUGGAUUACAACGGGUGUCCUUUUGUGUCCCUUUUUCCUUGCGCAGUCUGGGGACUUGUGCAAGUGGUUUUUUUUUUCCGUUUUUGUUUUCUGACCCACGGACUGGAGCAGCCCUGCUGAAACGAUGGAGCGAGUCCGUAGAGCAGUCAGCAGGGCUUUUUCAUCAGUGUCAUCCCGCAGAUUUUUGAAUGGUCUGAGACGUAAGUCGAAGUUUAUCCCUUGGGGCAGCACAUUGAGAGCAAAGUGCCAUAAAGGUGCCAUUGUGUUGGUAGAGCUUCUGCCAACAGCUUCGGCUAAAAAGAGGGUGUCUCUUGCCCAGCAGGCUGUGGACAACUUCCAAAAUUCAGGCUAGGAGAGCUUUGCAGGUGUCCUUCUAAAAACUGUGCGGUUCUCUCCAGAACUGAGGGAAAGCAGCUUUUUUCUGUGCUCCAUCCUUAAAGGAUGCGCCUGUUGAACUGGACCCUCUCUGUGUGCUACAAGAGCCAUUGGCUUUGGGCUGAAGGGCCGAGUGCCAAGCCGUCUUGUGUGUGCGCCUGAAACCCACAGCUGGGCUUGUGCUGUGUCUGAACAGAACUGCAAGCACUAAGAGGCAUUUGGAGAAAGCUUUUGUGGGGAAUUGUUCACAGCAACCACAAGGGACAUGCUGCAUGCAUUUUACAAAAAGAAAAUUAAAGCCCAGGAAAGAGAGGAGAAACAAGCCACUUUAGCUGUAGCGUGGACAAUGAGCUACAAUGUAGGCCCUGAGUGCUGAGGAACAAUUUGCAUUUUCCCGGCCAAAUUUCUUAACAGAAACUUGGCCGGCAAGAGGUUGACACAGCCUAGGGUAUUGGCCUGCAGUCUUGCUUGCUGUGCUAAAGAAGUGUUGCUCUGGGAGGGAUGCUGUGAAAGGAAAAUGCCCUCUGCUUGGGUGAUCUUAUUCUGUGGGCUUCCUCAGCACAGACAGUUUUGUAACAUCACCUGGUUCAUUUUCCCUUCCACCUGCAGGUCGCCUCAGAGGUGGAAGGAGUCAAGGCCGUGGUUCGAGCACCACAGCACCAGCAGAAGAACCUCCUCUGGCUCGCUCUCUUCCUCCAGAGGCUAAAGAGGAGGCAAAGGACAACUUACCUGCACGUGCUGUCAGUCCAGGGCCGGAGCAUCUGGAACCAGCCCCAGCAGGAGAGAUUCUUGCCAGUCAGGACUGCUGGGCCCAGGCAGGAGAGGCGGAGCAGCAGGAGAGCAUGGAUAGAGUGUGCGAAGCCCGGGAUUUCAGAUGGGAGCAGUUGUCUGCCCUUGAGAGAAAGCACCACUCCUCGCUAGCCCGGGCCUUUGAAACGUCAGCAGAGACAGCGGAGGAAUUGCAGCCUCACAGGGAUCUGCUGAAGGAAGAGGUUCCUCUGGCGGUGCCAAAGGUUUGCCGCCCACAGGGGCCAUCCCCCAGGGUUCUGGAGAGGCUGCUCCAGGAGUCCUCUCGCCAAGGGGACACGCUGUCCCAGGUGUGCAGAGAGGAAACGGUGCUGGCACAAGAGAAGGCUGCCCUGGAAGCCCAGCUGCCAGGCACGGAGCGGAAGCUACGAGGCCUUUCCAAGCAGCUGGUAGAGACCAGGUAAAGGCAGGGAGGAGAAUCUGGAUGAGGCAUUAUUGAAGGUCUG